UUGUAAACUUACACACAAAAAUCCCAUACACACACGUCUAUAAAAAUGUAUCUUUUAUCCCAUUUGGUUCUUAGUGGCCAGCAGUAGGAGAAGUCCUUAGGAAAAUGGAAUAUUCAGCGCCGUUCCUGCCGUUCCUGCCGCCUCCUGCCGAAGAUGAUGAAUGGCCUGCGUGUGUUAGUUUUAUGUGGAAGGAAACAUGUGAAAAAGUUCACAUCAAUUUGCUCCAGAAUACGUAAAGCUUACAAGCUAUCGGCCACUAUCUUAUGAUCAAAGUCGUUGCCAGGCUCCCAAACGUUUCGAGAACCACGAAUAUAAUACCUUUUAUGAGGUGAGUUCUUUG
rnacentral:sRNA from 1 species